ACGAACGCUGGCGGCACGCUUAACACAUGCAAGUCGAACGAGAGAAGAGAAGCUUGCUUUUCUGAUCUAGUGGCGGACGGGUGAGUAACACGUGAGCAAUCUGCCUUUCAGAGGGGGAUACCGAUUGGAAACGAUCGUUAAUACCGCAUAAUAUAAUUGAACCGCAUGAUUUGAUUAUCAAAGAUUUAUCGCUGAAAGAUGAGCUCGCGUCUGAUUAGCUAGUUGGUAAGGUAACGGCUUACCAAGGCGACGAUCAGUAGCCGGACUGAGAGGUUGAUCGGCCACAUUGGGACUGAGACACGGCCCAGACUCCUACGGGAGGCAGCAGUGGGGAAUAUUGCACAAUGGAGGAAACUCUGAUGCAGCGAUGCCGCGUGAGGGAAGAAGGUUUUAGGAUUGUAAACCUCUGUCUUCAGGGACGAAAAAAGACGGUACCUGAGGAGGAAGCUCCGGCUAACUACGUGCCAGCAGCCGCGGUAAUACGUAGGGAGCGAGCGUUGUCCGGAAUUACUGGGUGUAAAGGGAGCGUAGGCGGGAUCGCAAGUCAGAUGUGAAAACUAUGGGCUUAACCCAUAAACUGCAUUUGAAACUGUGGUUCUUGAGUGAAGUAGAGGUAAGCGGAAUUCCUAGUGUAGCGGUGAAAUGCGUAGAUAUUAGGAGGAACAUCAGUGGCGAAGGCGGCUUACUGGGCUUUAACUGACGCUGAGGCUCGAAAGCGUGGGGAGCAAACAGGAUUAGAUACCCUGGUAGUCCACGCCGUAAACGAUGAUUACUAGGUGUGGGGGGACUGACCCCUUCCGUGCCGCAGCAAACACAAUAAGUAAUCCACCUGGGGAGUACGACCGCAAGGUUGAAACUCAAAGGAAUUGACGGGGGCCCGCACAAGCAGUGGAGUAUGUGGAUUAAUUCGAAGCAACGCGAAGAACCUUACCAGGUCUUGACAUCGUAUGCAUAGCUCAGAGAUGAGUGAAAUCUCUUCGGAGACAUAUAGACAGGUGGUGCAUGGUUGUCGUCAGCUCGUGUCGUGAGAUGUUGGGUUAAGUCCCGCAACGAGCGCAACCCUUACUGUUAGUUGCUACGCAAGAGCACUCUAGCAGGACUGCCGUUGACAAAACGGAGGAAGGUGGGGAUGACGUCAAAUCAUCAUGCCCCUUAUGACCUGGGCCUCACACGUACUACAAUGGCUGUCAACAGAGGGAUGCAAAGCCGCGAGGUGGAGCGAACCCCUAAAAGCAGUCUUAGUUCGGAUUGUAGGCUGCAACCCGCCUACAUGAAGUCGGAAUUGCUAGUAAUCGCAGAUCAGCAUGCUGCGGUGAAUACGUUCCCGGGCCUUGUACACACCGCCCGUCACGCCAUGGGAGUCGGUAACACCCGAAGCCUGUAGUCUAACCGCAAGGAGGACGCAGUCGAAGGUGGGAUUGAUGACUGGGGUG
rnacentral:rRNA from 1 species